AUGGGGCCCGAGCUCGGAGGCGGCCGGGCGGCGCGGAGUCCUCCUGGAUCGUGGCAAUGGGCAGACACAGAGCAGAAAGUGGCGGACUUGGGCGGCCACAGGUGCCUUAUUCCUGCCCUUCUUUGUGCCUGCUGGACAAGCCUCCCUCCUCUUUCUCAUGCUGACUGUGAGGAGUGGGACAGGGCACCUGAGACUCCAGCAACUCCAAAUGCCAACAUUGACCGGCCUCUUGCUUUUAGCUGCUCACCUCUCCCUCACCCUUCCGGGAUCCUGGGGCCCCUCAUCAGCAUUUUCUUCUAGUGAUCUCUGUCAUCUCCAAGGCCCAGACCACUCUAGGGUUUUGUAGGGAAUUGGGCUCUUUCUGUACUGACCACUAUGGCCAUAUUAGAGUGUAGCUUUCACUGUUCUGUUAAACUAGUUUUCACUCCUCCAUCGACCCUCUCUAUUCUUCAGAAUUGUGUUGAAAUAUAGCUUUUGCUGAUGACUCCUCCCCUAUCUUCUUUGCCCCUUCGGAUUUAUCCCUUUAUGUUCUUUUACUAUCCUUUUUAGGGAAGAAUGAAGAUAAAUACGUGUGUUUAAUCCUUUAAUCUGUAGUCCAUUUCCAAAAUUAUACAAAAGCUUUUACCGAACUGUCCCAAA